rnacentral:snoRNA from 1 species
AUUUCAUGAUGAGGACACUUUCAUAAUAACUCUUUGUAUCGUUCCCAUGCCUCAUACAGGGACUCAGCAUCCAUUUUUUGGAAGGCAGUGAUAUUAUUCCUCAACUU